GGUCAAGUGAAGAAGCGCAUACGGUGGAUGCCUUGGCAGUCAGAGGCGAUGAAAGACGUGGUAGCCUGCGAAAAGCUUCGGGGAGUCGGCAAACAGACUGUGAUCCGGAGAUGUCUGAAUGGGGGAACCCAGCCAUCACAAGAUGGUUAUCUUACACUGAAUACAUAGGUGUAAGAGGCGAACCAGGGGAACUGAAACAUCUAAGUACCCUGAGGAAAAGAAAUCAACCGAGAUUCCCUUAGUAGUGGCGAGCGAACGGGGACCAGCCCUUAAGUUGUAUUGAGAUUAGCGGAACGCUCUGGAAAGUGCGGCCAUAGUGGGUGAUAGCCCUGUACGCGAAAAUCCCUUUGCAAUGAAAUCGAGUAGGACGGGGCACGAGAAACCUUGUCUGAAUAUGGGGGGACCAUCCUCCAAGGCUAAAUACUACUGACUGACCGAUAGUGAACCAGUACCGUGAGGGAAAGGCGAAAAGAACCGCGGAGAGCGGAGUGAAAUAGAUCCUGAAACCGUAUGCGUACAAGCAGUGGGAGCCCACUUUGUUGGGUGACUGCGUACCUUUUGUAUAAUGGGUCAGCGACUUAUUUUCAGUGGCGAGCUUAACCGAAUAGGGGAGGCGUAGCGAAAGCGAGUCUUAAUAGGGCGUCUAGUCGCUGGGAAUAGACCCGAAACCGGGCGAUCUAUCCAUGGGCAGGUUGAAGGUUGGGUAACACUAACUGGAGGACCGAACCGACUACCGUUGAAAAGUUAGCGGAUGACCUGUGGAUCGGAGUGAAAGGCUAAUCAAGCUCGGAGAUAGCUGGUUCUCCUCGAAAGCUAUUUAGGUAGCGCCUCAUGUAUCACUGUAGGGGGUAGAGCACUGUUUCGGCUAGGGGGUCAUCCCGACUUACCAAACCGAUGCAAACUCCGAAUACCUACAAGUGCCGAGCAUGGGAGACACACGGCGGGUGCUAACGUCCGUCGUGAAAAGGGAAACAACCCAGACCGUCAGCUAAGGUCCCAAAGUCAUGGUUAAGUGGGAAACGAUGUGGGAAGGCUUAGACAGCUAGGAGGUUGGCUUAGAAGCAGCCACCCUUUAAAGAAAGCGUAAUAGCUCACUAGUCGAGUCGGCCUGCGCGGAAGAUGUAACGGGGCUCAAACCAUGCACCGAAGCUACGGGUAUCACCUUUGGUGAUGCGGUAGAGGAGCGUUCUGUAAGCCUGUGAAGGUGAGUUGAGAAGCUUGCUGGAGGUAUCAGAAGUGCGAAUGCUGACAUGAGUAACGACAAUGGGUGUGAAAAACACCCACGCCGAAAGACCAAGGUUUCCUGCGCAACGUUAAUCGACGCAGGGUUAGUCGGUCCCUAAGGCGAGGCUGAAAAGCGUAGUCGAUGGAAAACAGGUUAAUAUUCCUGUACUUCUGGUUAUUGCGAUGGAGGGACGGAGAAGGCUAGGCCAGCCUGGCGUUGGUAGUCCAGGUUUAAGGUGGUAGGCUGAGAUCUUAGGUAAAUCCGGGAUCUUAAGGCCGAGAGCUGAUGACGAGUGUUCUUUUAGAACAUGAAGUGGUUGAUGCCAUGCUUCCAAGAAAAGCUUCUAAGCUUCAGGUAACCAGGAACCGUACCCCAAACCGACACAGGUGGUUGGGUAGAGAAUACCAAGGCGCUUGAGAGAACUCGGGUGAAGGAACUAGGCAAAAUGGCACCGUAACUUCGGGAGAAGGUGCGCCGGUGAGGGUGAAGCAUUUACUGCGUAAGCCCACGCCGGUCGAAGAUACCAGGCCGCUGCGACUGUUUAUUAAAAACACAGCACUCUGCAAACACGAAAGUGGACGUAUAGGGUGUGACGCCUGCCCGGUGCCGGAAGGUUAAUUGAUGGGGUUAGCGCAAGCGAAGCUCUUGAUCGAAGCCCCGGUAAACGGCGGCCGUAACUAUAACGGACGUAAGGUAGCGAAAUUCCUUGUCGGGUAAGUUCCGACCUGCACGAAUGGCGUAACGAUGGCGGCGCUGUCUCCACCCGAGACUCAGUGAAAUUGAAAUCGCUGUGAAGAUGCAGUGUAUCCGCGGCUAGACGGAAAGACCCCGUGAACCUUUACUAUAGCUUUGCACUGGACUUUGAAUUUGCUUGUGUAGGAUAGGUGGGAGGCUUUGAAGCGUGGACGCCAGUCUGCGUGGAGCCAACCUUGAAAUACCACCCUGGCAACUUUGAGGUUCUAACUCAGGUCCGUUAUCCGGAUCGAGGACAGUGUAUGGUGGGUAGUUUGACUGGGGCGGUCUCCUCCUAAAGAGUAACGGAGGAGUACGAAGGUGCGCUCAGACCGGUCGGAAAUCGGUCGUAGAGUAUAAAGGCAAAAGCGCGCUUGACUGCGAGACAGACACGUCGAGCAGGUACGAAAGUAGGUCUUAGUGAUCCGGUGGUUCUGUAUGGAAGGGCCAUCGCUCAACGGAUAAAAGGUACUCCGGGGAUAACAGGCUGAUACCGCCCAAGAGUUCAUAUCGACGGCGGUGUUUGGCACCUCGAUGUCGGCUCAUCACAUCCUGGGGCUGAAGCCGGUCCCAAGGGUAUGGCUGUUCGCCAUUUAAAGUGGUACGCGAGCUGGGUUUAGAACGUCGUGAGACAGUUCGGUCCCUAUCUGCCGUGGACGUUUGAGAUUUGAGAGGGGCUGCUCCUAGUACGAGAGGACCGGAGUGGACGAACCUCUGGUGUUCCGGUUGUCACGCCAGUGGCAUUGCCGGGUAGCUAUGUUCGGAAAAGAUAACCGCUGAAAGCAUCUAAGCGGGAAACUUGCCUCAAGAUGAGAUCUCACUGGAACCUAGAGUUCCCUGAAGGGCCGUCGAAGACUACGACGUUGAUAGGUUGGGUGUGUAAGCGCUGUGAGGCGUUGAGCUAACCAAUACUAAUUGCCCGUGAGGCUUGACCAU
rnacentral:rRNA from 1 species